CCUCACUGCUGAGAUACACCGAAUAAAGACUGGCCAAUAAUACAUGCUUCUCCAAGUUAUUUCAGGGAUUUCUCUUUUACGAUUCGUUGUCAGAAGUGACAAGAUCAAAGUGGGAGUUUGCGGUCACACUACCCGCAGAGCACUUGGUAUCGUCACAGGCAUGCUUAUGAUAUAGCCGGAAUUCUGCAAAGGCCUUCUUAUGAUUAUGAAAAGGGUUUUGCCGCUUAUAUUUUCAUUUAGAGGAAUUUAUUGUUUUGUGUUCAUGGCUGUCAUAAUGAUAGACCGAUUGUAGAAGACUUUCUUCGUCAUAAAGUUAUCA